UUGCUUGGGCAGCAUAUAUACUAAAAUUGGAAUGAUACAGAGAUUAGCAUGGCGCCUGCACAAAGAUGACCUGCAAAUUCAUGAAAUGUUCUAUAUUUUU
rnacentral:snRNA from 1 species